CCUACGGGAGGCAGCAGUGAGGAAUAUUGGUCAAUGGACGAGAGCCUGAACCAGCCAAGUAGCGUGAAGGAUGACUGCCCUAUGGGUUGUAAACUUCUUUUAUAUGGGAAUAAAAUGUUGCACGUGUGGGAUUUUGUAUGUACUAUAUGAAUACGGAUCGGCUAACUCCGUGCCAGCAGCCGCGGUAAUACGGAGGAUCCGAGCGUUCUCCGGAUUUAGUGGGUUUAAAGGGAGCGUAGGUGGAUUGUUAAGUCAGUUGUGAACGUUUGCGGCUCAACCGUAAAAUUGCAGUUGAAACUGGCAGCCUUGAGUACAGUAGAGGUGGGCGGAAUUCGUGGUGGAGCGGUGAAAUGCUUAGAUAUCACGAAGAACUCCGAUUGCGAAGGCAGUUCACUGGACUGCAACUGACACUGAGGCUCGAAAGUGUGGGUAUCAAACAGGAUUAGAUACCCUUGUAGUC
rnacentral:rRNA from 1 species